rnacentral:rRNA from 1 species
UACGUAGGGGGCAAGCGUUAUCCGGAUUUACUGGGUGUAAAGGGAGCGCAGACGGCAAGGCAAGUCUGAAGUGAAAACGCGGGGCUCAACUCCGCGAUUGCUUUGGAAACUGUCUGGCUGGAGUGUCGGAGGGGUAAGCGGAAUUCCUAGUGUAGCGGUGAAAUGCGUAGAUAUUAGGAGGAACACCGGUGGCGAAGGCGGCUUACUGGACGACAACUGACGUUGAGGCUCGAAAGCGUGGGGAGCAAAC